GCGGGCGUGGCGGAAUUGGCAGACGCAGCGGACUUAAAAUCCGCUUCCGGCGACGGAGUGUCGGUUCGAACCCGACCGCCCGCACCA
rnacentral:tRNA from 1 species